rnacentral:rRNA from 1 species
AACGAACGCUGGCGGCAUGCCUAACACAUGCAAGUCGAACGAAGCCUUCGGGCUUAGUGGCGCACGGGUGCGUAACGCGUGGGAAUCUGCCCUUGGGUUCGGAAUAACAGUUAGAAAUGACUGCUAAUACCGGAUGAUGUCUUCGGACCAAAGAUUUAUCGCCCAAGGAUGAGCCCGCGUAGGAUUAGGUAGUUGGUGGGGUAAUGGCCCACCAAGCCGACGAUCCUUAGCUGGUCUGAGAGGAUGAUCAGCCACACUGGGACUGAGACACGGCCCAGACUCCUACGGGAGGCAGCAGUGGGGAAUAUUGGACAAUGGGCGAAAGCCUGAUCCAGCAAUGCCGCGUGAGUGAUGAAGGCCUUAGGAUUGUAAAGCUCUUUUACCAGGGAUGAUAAUGACAGUACCUGGAGAAUAAGCUCCGGCUAACUCCGUGCCAGCCGCCGCCGUAAGAC